rnacentral:SRP_RNA from 1 species
AGAUGGGGAGUUAGCGGUGCCCUGUAACCUGCAAUCCGCUACAGCAGGAUUGAACGCUUGCCUAGGUGCAAUUUGGUUGAAUAUGUGCGUAGUUUUUUGAUGGUGAAAUUAAGGUCUUAUGCAAUUGACUCCUUCGAACCAUGUCAGGUCCUGACGGAAGCAUCAUUAAGAAGAUCGGUUGAUGUGCCAUGAGGAAACUUUGGUGGAGUUGAAA